rnacentral:lncRNA from 1 species
UCUGACUAUUUUCUUGACAACAAAACUUACAUUGAAAGCAUCCAUCAACUUCCCUACAACUUAACUAAAAAUCAAGGAGGAACAACAUCCAAUAUACGCCAUCCCUACAACUUAACUAAAACUGAAAGCAUCCAUCAUCAUCAUCAUCAUGAACCGGAACAUCAACAUCAUCAUUGCAGUAUACUUUCCACACACCAUAUGGUCAUCCAUUUUCUUUUGAAUCUACAAACAAGAUAACAAAAUGAGUUGUUAAUACACAAAGAUUGCCAUGAUGCAAGUAGUAAUAGAGGCAAUAUAUUAGUUUUUUUUAAUGCAUUACCGAGAGUAUUGCAGUUUUUUCAACUCCGUACCAAAUUUUCAGUUUUCACAAGUGCCAUAUCGACAUGCACAGCCCGGAAUCCAUUUCUAAUUUCAGCACCAUCAAGUUUAAAUUUAGGAUCACAACUUACAAUUGUACCAAGAUCUACGUGCUAGUUAUGAUUUUUCAGGCUCUUCAAGAAUACUUUAGUUCCUGCAUGUCAGAGAAAAUCAAAGUUACCAUUGGCAGAAUUAUCCUCAUCACCCAUGACAAGACAGACAAAAUAGGGGAACAUAUGAAAUGAAUUUGAGCAGUCUUACAGGUAGUUCACUGGCACCCAACCAACUCAGCGAACCACUUUGAGCUCUCUUACUCGCUGCAUUAGCAGCUUUUUUUUUUUGGUCUAGGCAACACUCUUAUAGCAAACUAGAGGUAAUAAACGAAUAAACAAGCUAGCACUAUAGUUUGAGCAAAAUACGUAUCUGAUUAUGAAAAGAUACUAGCUUGUUCGCAGCAGAAGUUUUUUCUCGCAUACGUACACUGACAUUCUCAAGCAAAGUAUGUGUGUUCUGAACAACAUUCUAAUAGCAACACGACCAGUAGAUACAUAAACAUCGAAGCGAUAUAUUUUGAACAUAUUGUAUAUGGUAAUGGAAAUAUACCUUGUGUGCAGCAGCAUUUAUUUUCCCUUGCCGUGUACUGAAAUUUUGAUCAAAAGUUUCUUGGUUCUGGACAACAUUCACAAAGUAACAAGUAAACACACAUAAACAUGGGAGCACUAUAGUUUGAUCGUAAUUUCGUAUAUCAGACUAUGGAGAUACCUUGUGUGCAGCAGAACCUUUUUCUAAUUGUCGUG